CGGGAGGCAGCAGCUAAGAAUAUUCCGCAAUGGACGAAAGUCUGACGGAGCGACGCCGCGUGGAUGAUGAAGGCCGAAAGGUUGUAAAGUCCUUUUGCUGGGGAAGAAUAAGCGAGGGAGGGAAUGCCCGCGUGAUGACAUGAACCGGCGAAUAAGCCCCGGCUAACUACGUGCCAGCAGCCGCGGUAACACGUAGGGGGCGAGCGUUGUUCGGAAUUACUGGGCGUAAAGGGCAUGUAGGCGGCCUUGUAAGCUUGGCGUGAAAGUCCACGGCUUAACCGUGGGAUUGCGUUGAGAACUGCGAGGCUUGAGUGACGGAGAGGGAGCUAGAAUUCCUGGUGUAGGGGUGGAAUCUGUAGAGAUCAGGAAGAAUACCAAUGGCGAAGGCAAGCUCCUGGCCGAUGACUGACGCUGAGGUGCGAAAGUGUGGGGAUCAAACAGGAUUAGAUACCCUGGUAGUCCACACUGUAAACGAUGUGCACUAGGUGCUGGGGCGGAUGCCUCAGUGCCGUAGCUAACGUGAUAAGUGCACCCCCCU
rnacentral:rRNA from 1 species